GACGAACGCUGGCGGCGUGCUUAACACAUGCAAGUCGAGCGGUAAGGCCCUUUGGGGUACACGAGCGGCGAACGGGUGAGUAACACGUGAGUAAUCUGCCUUUGGCUUGGGAAUAACUUCGGGAAAUCGGGGCUAAUGCCUGAUGUUUACUGUCUGCUGCAUGGUGGGUGGUGGAAAGAUUUUUUGGCCAGGGAUGAGCUCGCGGUCUAUCAGCUUGUUGGUGGGGUAAUGGCUACCAAGGCUUUGACGGGUAGCCGGCCUGAGAGGGUGUUCGGCCACACUGGGACUGAGACACGGCCCAGACUCCUACGGGAGGCAGCAGUGGGGAAUAUUGCGCAAUGGGCGUAAGCCUGACGCAGCGACGCCGCGUGGGGAUGAA
rnacentral:rRNA from 1 species